UAGAAUUCUGACGUGAAGCCUUCUGGUCCCAGGCUUUUCUUUUUUGGGACCAGAUGGCUUCACGUCAGAAUUCUA
rfam:Otolemur garnettii contig046877, whole genome shotgun sequence.